GACGAACGCUGGCGGCGUGCUUAACACAUGCAAGUCGAACGAAGUGGCGAACGUGUGAGUAACGCGUAAUCAACCUGCCCUUCAGAGGGGGACAACAGUUGGAAACGACUGCUAAUACCGCAUACUGCAGGAGGGGUUUGCGUCUGAUUAGCUAGUGGGGGGGGUAACGGCCCACCACGGCGAUGAUCAGGAGGCGGGUUGGGAGGAUGAACGGCCAAAUUGGGACGGGGAACAGGCCCAGACUCCUACGGGAGGCAGCAAGGGGGAAUCUGCCGCAAUGGACGAAAGGUUGACGGAGCAACGCCGCGGGAGUGAUGACGGCCUUCGGGUUGGAAAGCUAGGUUAAUCGGGACGCGGUACCGGAAUAGAAAGCAACGGCUAACUACGUGCCAGCAGCCGCGGUAAUUC
rnacentral:rRNA from 1 species